rnacentral:rRNA from 1 species
AACGAACGCUGGCGGCAUGCCUAACACAUGCAAGUCGAACGAGACCUUCGGGUCUACUUGCGCACGGGUGCGUAACGCGUGGGACCCUGCCCUUAGGUUCGGAAUAACUCUCCGACAGGGGUGCUAAUACCGGAUAACGUCUUCUGACCCAAGAUUCAUCGCCUUUGGAUGGGCCGGAGUUGGUUUAGCUGGUUGGUAGGGUAAAAGCCUACCAAGGCGACGAUCCAUAGCUGGUCUGAGAGGAUGGUCAGCCACACUGGGACUGUGACACGGCCCAGACUCUUACGGGAGGCAGCAGUGGGGAAUAUAGGACAAUGGGCGAAAGGCUGAAGCAGCAAUGCCGCGUGAGUGAUGAAGGCCUGAGGGUUGUAAAGCUCUUUUACCCGGGAUGAUAAUGACAGUACCGGGAGAAUAAGCUCCGGCUAACUCCGUG